GGAUGGGACCGGCGCGGCGGAUACCAGCGAACCUCGUCAGGUCCGAGAGGAAGCAGCGAUAAGGUGGAUCAUCCGGGCGCCGCCGGGAAACCUGUCCGGA
rfam:Anaerolineae bacterium TC1 DNA, scaffold: ATC1_scaffold_2.